GGGGAGAGAAAGAGGGGGAAAUCAAGAAGCAGAGAGAGAAGGGAAGGCGUCCGCGCUCGCAAUCCCCACCUUCUCCAUGCCGCGCCCCGCCUCGCCUCGCCGACCACCGGCGCCACCUCCUCCUCCUCCACGCCGCGCUCCGCCUCGCUGACCACCGGAUCCACCGCCGCCUCCUCCUCCUCCAUGCCACGCUCAGACUCACUUACCACCGGCGCCACCUCCUCCUCCAAGCUGUGGGCGCCCCCGACAAUCACCCACGAGAACGCCUCCCCCUCCUGCUCCGCCACGCGGGCACCACUCCGGCCACCGGCAGCUGCCUCCUCCUCCUCCUCCAAGCUGCGCAGUUGCACCUGCCGGAUUGAUAAGAAGACAGGGCGUGCCAUGCGAUCCGCCGCUCGGCGAUGCUGCACCUGCCGAGCUGCGUGCUCUUCUGGCGAGAGGAGACCACCAACGCCGGGCGGAAAUUGUUUGGCAACUCGUGCAAGAUUCCAGGUCUGCAAUGAUGCAGCGAUUCUUUCUUCUUUCUUAUAUCUCAACUGCGAGAAGGAUCAGUUGGUGAUCUACGUUGAUGGUUUUCUUGAUGAUUCAGAAGACAGGUCGUGCCAUGCGAUCCGCCGCUCGGCAAUGCUGCACCUGCCGAGGUCCAUUGAAUCGGUUUUGAGGCGAGAGGAUCCCACCAACGCCGGGCAGAAAUUGUUCGGCAACUCACGCGAGAUUCCAGAUUUGUUGCGCCUCAGGCAGCUGCUGAUCUGACCAGCGGUGCUUCAAGU
rnacentral:lncRNA from 1 species